CCUUUUAUAGACUCUGUUUGUCGGUGUAGAGCUAGCAAAGCUGGUAAUGGUCGUCUGGUUAACACAAGAUUUUAGCUGUGACUGUCCUUUCUUUGCGGUAAGUGAAGUUGCUCCAUUUUGGCUGCUGUCUGUAGAUUCCUUAAUUCUUUCGGAU